UAAAAAAAAAAUGGUGCUAANUCCCAUGC
rnacentral:piRNA from 1 species